AACCCCCACAAACAAACAAAGGCAUUUUCUGAGCCUUCUCCAUCUCCACAAGUGUCCAGGAAGAAAAAAUUCUGUUUGAACUCUU
rnacentral:lncRNA from 1 species